UACGUAGGGCGCAAGCGUUGUCCGGAAUUAUUGGGCGUAAAGAGCUUGUAGGUGGCUUGUCGCGUCUGCCGUGAAAAUCCAGGGCUCAACCCUGGACGUGCAGUGGGUACGGGCAGGCUGGAGUGCAGUAGGGGAGACUGGAAUUCCUGGUGUAGCGGUGAAAUGCGCAGAUAUCAGGAGGAACACCGGUGGCGAAGGCGGGACUCUGGGCUGUAACUGACACUGAGGAGCGAAAGCAUGGGGAGCGAACAGG
rnacentral:rRNA from 1 species